rnacentral:rRNA from 1 species
UCCGUAGGCGGCCAUGUGUGUCGGGUGUGAAAUCCUGCAGCUCAACUGCAGAACUGCGCCCGAAACUACAUGGCUAGAGUAUUGGAGAGGUGAGUGGAAUUCCAGGUGUAGCGGUGGAAUGCGUAGAUAUCUGGAGGAACACCAACGGCGAAGGCAGCUCACUGGACAAUUACUGACGCUGAGGGACGAAAGCGGUGGGGAGCGGAAAG